rnacentral:rRNA from 1 species
AAGCGUGGGUAGCGAACAGGAUUAGAUACCCUGGUAGUCCACGCCGUAAACGAUGACAACUAGCUGUUAGGAGACUAUGUCUUUUAGUGGCGCAGCUAACGUUUUAAGUUGUCCGCCUGGGGAGUACGGCCGCAAGGCUAAAACUCAAAUGAAUUGACGGGGACCCGCACAAGCAGUGGAUCAUGUGGUUUAAUUCGAUGCAACGCGAAAAACCUUACCUACUCUUGACAUACUUGGAAGCUCUUGUAAUGAGAGUGUGCUUUUAAGAACCAAGAUACAGGUGCUGCAUGGCUGUCGUCAGCUCGUGUCGUGAGAUGUUCCGUUAAGUCGGAUAACGAGCGCAACCCUUACCCUUAUUUGCCAGCGAUUCGGUCGGGAACUAUAAGGGGACUGCCGGUGAUAAACCGGAGGAAGGUGAGGACGACGUCAAGUCAUCAUGGCCCUUACGAGUAGGGCUACACACGUGAUACAAUGGGAGAGACAGACGGACGCUAAGCCGCGAGGUGGUGCUAAUCCUAGAAACUCUCUCGUAGUCCGGAUUGGAGUCUGCAACUCGACUCCAUGAAGUUGGAAUUGCUAGUAAUCGCGGAUCAGCAUGCCGCGGUGAAUACGUUCUCGGGUCUUGUACACACCGCCCGUCACACCAUGGAAGUGGAUUGCACCAGAAGUAGAUAGUCUAACCUUAGGGAGGGCGUUUACCACGGUGUGCUUCAUGACUGGGGUGAAGUCGUAACAAGGUAGCCGUAGGGGAACCUGUGGCUG